GGGAGCGAGGCGUAGGAGUGGUGAGCUCCAGUCCAAACAGUGCCCGCGGCGCGCCUCCACCCUGCCUGAGGGCGCGCCUCUGCCUGAGGGGGCAGCCAAGUGAAGAGCCCCACCGACCUGUCAGGGUUCAGCCCAGCAGUCGCCCCCGCCCCCGUCCGUAGGGACAAGCUUUUCUGGGCGUGGACGCCGUGGAAGAAAUGAGUUCCCUUAGCCCCUUACAGAGAGCGCUGCGAGGGGUCCAGCUAAGUUUCGGUUUGAAAACUCGGUUCUGCGUGACACGUGGACCGGAAUCCGGAUCUCCCCUCCUCGCGUGCUCGCCAGGUCCUCUGCCCGCGGUGGCCGCGGCUGGGGGAGCGGGAGCCGGGCCGCUCAACCCAAGGACGAGGUGGUGGUGCCUGACUGGCAAGCAUGAGCGAGAUCCUCAUUUAGAAAUUCCGGAAGAAGAAACAGGUUUGACAAUAAAAACUAUAAGUUUUCUUUCUUGAUAAGGAAGAAACGGUAUUCUACUCUACACUUGAAUACAGUUUAAAAAAAAAAAAUCUUAUUUGGAAAUCACUGCUUUUCUGCUCACCAUAUUUUGAAAUUUGAUAACUACGGUGAAGUUUCUCAGUAUUUUUUUCCCUGCGCUGUGCAGAAUCCUUAAAUAAUAUUGCAGUAGGGGUUUUUUUUUGUUUUUUUUACCAGAGCUGUAAAUAUCUGGUUAUGUUAGUAUCCCGGAAAUUUCCAAGAAUUUUACAGUAAGAUCCAGGGCAGUAUUGCAAGUGUUGGGAAUAGGUGCAUCCUUUCUUAUUAAAAUUACCAAUAAAUUCUAGUUUGGCAUUUUAUGUUUGUUACAAGCUUCAUAAGUAUGAUAAAUGUGCACCAAAGAGUUCCUAAGAAUUCUGUCCCUCUUUAUUGAGAACUUACUCUGUGCCAUGUACUUCACAUCAUCUCACAUUCAGAACACCACUUUACUGGGAUGCAGACUUAAGGUGAGUUAGAAACAAUAAGAAGUCUCUCCUGGCCCACACACAGAUGUAGCCCAACCCCAGGCUGCGGGCCUCAGCCAGGAGCCCUUGGGCUGUGAUCUGCCUACCACAAUGGAGGAAGGGGAGACCUGUGCCCGGGAGGUAUUGUCAGCCUUCUACGGUGAGGGAGUCAAAGUACAGAGGAGUCAUAUGACAGUAUCCAGUCAAAGCAGGGGCUAAUUCUACCUUCACGAGAUGCCAAAGAUUUUUUUCUUCCUGUUUGAUAAUUUUGAAAUGCACAUUUCAAAACAUUCAGAAAAGGGAACAUAGAACAUUUUUUAUGUUUUCUGGAGCAUUGGCUUUCCCAUCUCUAAAGUGUGGGUGUUCAGUUAGAUUACCUCUGCGGUCCCACCUAAUUCCACCACUCAAACCCUUAAACCAGGUUUGGUUCUUUCAGGUCUUCAGAGAAACUCUCCCAUAUGUGAAUAAAUAUUCCACAAGAAAAGAGAGAAUGUAGUAACCUGAUUCCAACCCUCAGUUACUGAAGCCCCAAAACCUCUCCUUUUUUUUUUUUUUUCCUUUUCUCUAUACAUUCACUCCUUGGUGAUCUCAUCUAAUUUCUUACACCUUAACUACAGCCUCUGCUCUGAGGAUUCAGAUUUAGUCUUCUCUGUCUCAACUCUCUUUAGAGAUUAAAUUCUCAAACUCCAGUUCCUUGGACUGAUAGAGUUGUUCUCUUUUUCUCUGAAACAAAUUUCCUUUUCCACUGUGUGGAAUCAUCACCAUCUUCCCAGAAAACAAGAUUCUAAGUUUUAUUUUUACAAGUCACUUCAUAUUCAAUCAUUAAAUAUCUGUUGUUCUGCUGCAGUAAUUCCAAGAUUUACUUUUCCCCCUUAAUUCCUGCUGCCAGAUACUAGAGUUUGGCAUUGACUAUAGGACCAGCUACGUAACUUGCAGGGCUCAGUACAAAAUAAAAAUGCAGGGCUCCUUGUUCAAAAAUCAUGAAGAAUUUCAAGAUGAUGACAGGAGAGCAUUAGAGCAAAUGUGAAACACUUCUGAGUUCAGUGCCUUGUACAUGGCACAGGAUUCAUGGACAAGAAGCCAGCCCUGACUGGCCAUAUCAUGUUAACUUCUAGAUGACCCCUUUCCAUCCUUUCUUCCUAAUAGUUAGCAUAAAAGGUUUGAAAAGAGCCUCUUUACAGGGCACUUUCAUCUAAUCAGCAAAUCUUGUUAUUAUUGUGACAGAUUCUGUUGGUUGCAAACCUACAACUUCCAGGUCUUUCCUGCUAGCAAAUGGCUAGGUUGUCUAGAUGUACUUUGACUGUGGAUGGGCAGGAGCUGAAGCCAGGAAGGCAGUUAGGAUGUAAUGAACCAGAGCUUUCCAGUCCAGUUAUAAGCAUAAUCAGUCAGAUACACCUUCUGGACACCCCGAAUGGUCUCUUCACUGUCAUGGACAUCAAGAAACAUGAUGAUAUUAAUGAAUUGGCUUCUGUGGUCAGCAGCCAGUCACCUCACUCCUGCUAUUCCCAGGCUCUGUCACAUGGAGUCACUAUGGAGAAACUGGCUCUUCACUCUUCAGGCCCUGAUCCUGGUCCACUCCGCUGUGAAGCCUCCAGGUCCCAGGUCACCGUGCAGACUGGCUUGGUCCUUCCAGUAGCCACGAUGCUACUUCUCCCAGCUUGCAGCCCUUAGUACUCAUAUCCGGGCGUCUUCGGAGAUGCUACAUGCUCCAGGUUUGCUGGGCCAGGACAUGGUGGAGGUUUUAAAACAUGCCACAGAUAUUUUGACACCCCUCCCAUCAAGAGAUGGAUUAUAUUUCCUCCCUUCAACCUGAUCAGGUCUUGUGAUGGAAGCAAAGCUAAAUGACUUCCAAGGCUGGGUUUAUAAAGGCUGUUCUAGUUUGCGGGCUCUCCUGGGACACUUGUCAGCUGUUAUGUAAGAAGUCUAGUGCCCCUGAGUCCUCAUGUUGAGAGCCCAAGUGGAGAAGACCACAUAGAGAGAGAUGCCUGAGAAGCCCCACUGUUUGGGUUCUCCCAGCCCAAGCACCAGACGCAUGAGUGAAGAAGCCUUCCAGAUGAUCCUUGCCCCAGCCCUCCCUGUCUGACAGUAACUACACUAGAGGAUGGAAGAAAUGGCCAGCUGAGCCCCAGUCAAUCCCCAGAGCAAAAUAAUAAACA